AUUGGACGCUGGCGGCAUGCUUUACACAUGCAAGUCGAACGGUAACAGGCCGCAAGGUGCUGACGAGUGGCGAACGGGUGAGUAAUGCAUCGGAACGUGCCCAGUCGUGGGGGAUAACGCAGCGAAAGCUGCGCUAAUACCGCAUACGAUCUAUGGAUGAAAGCGGGGGACCGUAAGGCCUCGCGCGAUUGGAGCGGCCGAUGUCAGAUUAGGUGGUUGGUGAGGUAAAGGCUCACCAAGCCAACGAUCUGUAGCUGGUCUGAGAGGACGACCAGCCACACUGGGACUGAGACACGGCCCAGACUCCUACGGGAGGCAGCAGUGGGGAAUUUUGGACAAUGGGCGCAAGCCUGAUCCAGCAAUGCCGCGUGCAGGAAGAAGGCCUUCGGGUUGUAAACUGCUUUUGUACGGAACGAAACGGCUCUGGUUAAUACCUGGGGCUAAUGACGGUACCGUAAGAAUAAGCACCGGCUAACUACGUGCCAGCCGCCGCCGUAAAAC
rnacentral:rRNA from 1 species